rnacentral:tRNA from 1 species
GCCCGCCUAGCUCAAUCGGAUAGAGCGUCAGACUCUUACCUAGGUAGCGGCAUCUGAAGGCUGCGAGUUCGACCCUCGCGGUGGGCU